rnacentral:misc_RNA from 1 species
UGGUUCUGGCAUCGAUGAAGAACGCAGCGAAAUGCGAUAAGUAAUGUGAAUUGCAGAAUUCAGUGAAUCAUCGAAUCUUUGAACGCACAUUGCGCCCUUUGGUAUUCCGAGGGGCACGCCUGUUCGAGCGUCAUUUAAAUAAUCAAGCCUAGCUUGGUAUUGGACCCGGUCGAGUGACCCGUCCGUAACUCGUUGGCGGUACAGUCUGGCUUCAAGCGUAGCAAAAUUUUCGCUUCAGAAGUCCGUACGGUACCCGCCAGAUAAUGGCCACCUUUUAAAGUUUGACCUCGGAUCAGGUGGGGAUACCCGCUGA